UACAGAGGGUGCGAGCGUUGUUCGGAAUUACUGGGCGUAAAGCGCACGUAGGCGGCGAUUUAAGUCAGAGGUGAAAGCCCGGGGCUCAACCCCGGAACUGCCUUGAGACUGGAUUGCUAGAAUCUUGGAGAGGCGAGUGGAAUUCCGAGUGUAGAGGUGAAAUUCGUAGAUAUUCGGAAGAACACCAGUGGCGAAGGCGGCUCGCUGGACAAGUAUUGACGCUGAGGUGCGAAAGGCGUGGGGAGCAAACAGG
rnacentral:rRNA from 1 species